rnacentral:rRNA from 1 species
AUUGAACGCUGGCGGCAGGCCUAACACAUGCAAGUCGAACGAGCGGCGGACGGGUGAGUAAUGUCUGGGGAACUGCCCGAUGGAGGGGGAUAACUACUGGAAACGGUGGCUAAUACCGCAUACCAUCAGAUGACCCCAUAUGGGAUUAGCUAGUUGGUGGGGUAACGGCUCACCAAGGCGACGAUCCCUAGCUGGUCUGAGAGGAUGAUCAGCCACACUGGGACUGAGACACGGUCCAGACUCCUACGGGAGGCAGCAGUGGGGAAUAUUGCACAAUGGGCGCAAGCCUGAUGCAGCCAUGCCGCGUGUAUGAAGAAGGCCUUAGGGUUGUAAAGUACUUUCAGCGGGGAGGCGUUACCCGCAGAAGAAGCACCGGCUAACUCCGUGCCAGCAGCCGCGGUAAUAC